rnacentral:rRNA from 1 species
AGUGAGCGCUGGCGGUAGGCCUAACACAUGCAAGUCGAACGGCAGCACAGUAAGAGCUUGCUCUUACGGGUGGCGAGUGGCGGACGGGUGAGGAAUACAUCGGAAUCUACUUUUUCGUGGGGGAUAACGUAGGGAAACUUACGCUAAUACCGCAUACGACCUACGGGUGAAAGCAGGGGAUCUUCGGACCUUGCGCGAUUGAAUGAGCCGAUGUCGGAUUAGCUAGUUGGCGGGGUAAAGGCCCACCAAGGCGACGAUCCGUAGCUGGUCUGAGAGGAUGAUCAGCCACACUGGAACUGAGACACGGUCCAGACUCCUACGGGAGGCAGCAGUGGGGAAUAUUGGACAAUGGGCGCAAGCCUGAUCCAGCCAUACCGCGUGGGUGAAGAAGGCCUUCGGAUUGUAAAGCCCUUUUGUUGGGAAAGAAAAGCAGCAGGUUAAUACCCCGCUGUUCUGACGGUACCCAAAGAAUAAGCACCGGCUAACUUCGUG